rnacentral:ncRNA from 1 species
AUAGUCAAAGCUAAACCCCUCGUGAGGGGGGGACGGAAAGCGGCGGGUCUUCCCGAAGAAGACGGCCGAGCUGCCAAAG